CCAGACACUCCCAUCAACAGCCACUGUCUGACCUGCUGGGUGAGGGUUUUAUUGUCCUGGAUUUGACUGUCAGAGAAGGGACUGAAGAAUGUAAUUGAGGAGUGGAUUCUUAACACAAAAAAAAAGAACAUGCACUUCAACAAAAGUGAGAGUGUAACGGCGUGCACAGUGGUGGCAAUCCAUAGACCGAGAGACAGUGGAUAGUACAGGAUGUAGAUCGGUGGGCUGAGUCACGGCUGCAUCACUGCACGCAAGGUUCAAGACAAGUCUGCCACCAGCUGGUUCAGGAAGAGGUAGGAGCAGAGAUGGAGGAGUUGAAGAGUUGGAUGAUGGAGGAGUGGCACCAAACUGAAUGUACAAGAGGAGGAGGAUCUCUUGGUCUGACAUGUAACUCCUCUACAGCUUAUGUCUUUCUACAGGUGCAAGACAAAGUGUUCCCCAGGACGAAGCGCCUCAAAAGAACAUCAUCUAGGUUUCAAGCAACAGAACAUUUAAAGAGAUGAAAUAUAAAAUCUGAAUGUAUGCUUCGAAUUCACAAAGAGAGAAA